rnacentral:snRNA from 1 species
GUCUCUUCGGAGACAUCCGAUAAAAUUGGAACGAUACAGAGAAGAUUAGCAUGGCCCCUGCCCUGCGAAUGGAUGACACACACAAAUUGAGAAAUGGUCCAAAUUUUU